rnacentral:rRNA from 1 species
CGAAACCUGCCUAGCAGAAUGACCCGCGAACACGUUAUGCCCCGGUUGCGCCGGACGGGGAGCGGAGACGCCCCCCGCCCGGAAAAAACGAACCCCCGGCGCGAUCCGCGCCAAGGAAAACAAAAAACGGAUCGAGCGCCCCGUUCAGCGCUCCCCGAACUCUUAA